rnacentral:lncRNA from 1 species
GAGGGAGUAGAUAAUAAAGGGGCCGUUUGGAUCUCACUGAAUUAUGAGAAUCCAGCUUCUAGAAGUUGGGUGGGAUCCAAACAGUGCGGAUUUUAAUCUCAGAUUUUGAAAUCUAGGAGCUGGAAUUCUCAAAAUCUCAGAAGCUGAAGUUGGCUAGCUUUCGCUAGAUUAUAGGCAUAUGGGAAAAGCCAUAGAGAGGGGGAAUUUGGAUUCUAGAAUCUACUCCAAACAACCACGUUCAAUUCUACCCAAAAUCUAACUUCUGAAAUCUAAUCAGAAUCUAAAGUCUAAUUCAAACAAGAUCAAAAUGUUAUCAUGAAACACUCCGUUAUAAAUUGUUCUAGAUACAUAGAUGUUGCUAUGUAUCUAGAAUCAUAUAUUUAGAAAAAUUAAAAUGACUCGUAAUUUGAAUGGAGGGAAGAAAUUUUCUGAUCGACAAUGGAUGAAUUUUACAAGCCUGUUUAGUUACUGACCAAAUCCAU